UAUCUCUGUAGAGUCUGCAUAUCAAUAAGCGGAGGAAAAGAAACUAACUAGGAUUCCCUUAGUAACGGCGAGUGAAGCGGGAAGAGCUCAAAUUUGAAAUCUUCAAGGUUUUACCUUGACGAAUUGUAGUUUAAAGAAGUGUUUUCUGUUGGAGUUUUGGUAAAAGUUCUUUGGAAUAGGACAUCAUAGAGGGUGAGAAUCCCGUAUUUGACCAUUACUUCCAGCUUUGUGAUACACUUUCAAAGAGUCGGAUUGUUUGGGAAUGCAGUCCAAAAUGGGUGGUAAAUUUCAUCUAAAGCUAAAUAUUGGCGAGAGACCGAUAGCGAACAAGUACCGUGAGGGAAAGAUGAAAAGAACUUUGAAAAGAGAGUUAAACAGUACGUGAAAUUGUCAAAGGGAAGCGUUUGACACCAGUGUUGUUUUCUCGAAAAUCAAUUAAAAAAGGCAGGAUUUUGUGUUGUAUUGACUUUAUCAGCUUUCUGCACUCUUUUCUUGUCUUUUUUAAUGCACUUUUCGUUUAACAAGUCAACAUCAAUUUCUUUUGUUGUAAAAGGGUCAUUGGAAGGUGGCUUUCUUUUCGGAGAGAGUGUUUAUAGCCUUUGGCCUCUGCAAUCGGAGAGAUUGAGGUCUGACAGCGUAGAUCCUUCGGGGUUAGAUACAUUUGUGCUAAGUUAUAGCCUUUCAUAGACAACUUGUUGACUAUGAUCAGUCAUGUAGCUUACUCGCUUAUGCUAUUUUACCUACGCUUAGGAUGUUGAAGAUGUAGCACAUCAU
rnacentral:rRNA from 1 species